AUUGAACGCUGGCGGCAUGCCUUACACAUGCAAGUCGAACGGCAGCGGACCUUCGGGUGCCGGCGAGUGGCGAACGGGUGAGUAAUAUAUCGGAACGUACCUUUCAGUGGGGGAUAACGUGGCGAAAGUUACGCUAAUACCGCAUAUUCUGUGAGCAGGAAAGCAGGGGAUCGCAAGACCUUGCGCUGAUUGAGCGGCCGAUAUCAGAUUAGCUAGUUGGUGAGGUAAAGGCUCACCAAGGCGACGAUCUGUAGCGGGUCUGAGAGGAUGAUCCGCCACACUGGAACUGAGACACGGUCCAGACUCCUACGGGAGGCAGCAGUGGGGAAUUUUGGACAAUGGGCGCAAGCCUGAUCCAGCCAUGCCGCGUGAGUGAAGAAGGCCUUC
rnacentral:rRNA from 1 species